AAACCGCUUAGGGGUUAAACCCGAUGAACCUGAAUAUCUGAAAUGAAAAAUUCAAUAACAUUUGUCGAAUGAAAUGAUAUAAAAGUUUCUAUUUUGUAAAUGUUAUGCACUUUUUUCAUAGUAAGACAUUGCGAUCUAUUAGUUUUAUUUAAUUAUAAAACGUUUAUCAAACGGCUCGUUUGUUUAGUUUAUUCUAUCUGUAAUAAAUUUAUUUUUAUUAUAUGAAUAAUAUCAAUGCGAUGACCUGAUAAACAGCUGAUAGAGCUUAAAAAUCAUGCAACCAUGCAUAUGUAUUACGGUUUAUAUAUAUUUUAUAUGUAAAUGCAGUAAUAGCAUGUAUUUGAUUAGCAAUGCGAUAGAUUUGGGAUACCUUCGGGACCCGUCUUGAAACACGGACCAAGAAGUCUAACAUGUGUGCAAGUCAUUGGGUAUUGUUGAAACCUAAAGGCGUAAUUAAAAUAACUAUUUUAAUGGGAUUACAAGCAAUUUUAACAAAAAUUGUUUCUCCAUCCCGGGGCGUUCUAUAUGAACAUGAUAUAAGCAAUUGUAUCCUCUGUUUAAGAGCGUACCUUGAGCAUACAUGCUGU
rnacentral:rRNA from 1 species